rnacentral:lncRNA from 10 species
CGCAGAGAAAGCCACUAACUCAGAAGAGGCUCCGGGCUUCCCCUGUGCUUCUGCCUUUGGAAGACGCAGGUCAGCCCUCUGCUCAUUUACUCCUCUGGCCAAUUCAGAGCAGCCAAGUUUCACUUAACCCCGCUUAGCAAGAGAAACCGCUCCUCCUCCAAUGGCUAAUAAUUCUUCUGAGUGGCAAACGGUUAACACCCAAUUUUAAUGCCCUGGCUCACAACCCCCACACAGACAUCUGAGCCACAUGUGAGUAGCUACUGCUUUUCUGUAAAUGACAGAAAUACUAAGAGAACUUGACGGAAAUCGUCUCCAUUUCCUUUCGGGGGCGUACUAGGGACCAAUUAAACGGAGCACUUCCACCGGCCUAGUGGUUUUCUGCAGCCAGGGAAGACGGGGCGAUGCGCUGAGGCUCGACGCCCCCCGGGUGAGACUGGUCCCUCACUUGGCCGCCGGCCUCUGAGACAAUGGAGCUGACACUGCCCAGCUGGGGUCGCGCAGAGGGGUCAGCAGAAUCCGCGCAAGAGGCAACAGCUGGGGAGCCCUCCUUCACUCUACAUCUUUGUUCUGCUCUCUUUUCCAUCCCCAAAGAAACAGAGGAGGAGGAAGCAGAGCCCCCAUCGCGCCUGGGAGCGGUUGUGUAGCAAGAUCCUGGGAGCAGGAGGAGAAGGGAGUGCCCAGAGCUGUGACCUGGAGCCGAGGUCCCCCUGGGGAGUCCUAACAGAACAAAGGCCAUCGCGGGGACUGUGGCAGUGGUUACCAGAUGAAAUGAGUGACCCCUUUUAAAGCUACAGAGGCCGUAACAGUCCUUCGCCCUCUCUGGUCAUUCAAGAGCCUUCUGAAUAGGGCUCCAAAAAUCAACUUCAGCCUUGGACCAGAGAACAUGUGCCAGAACAAGCCUGUCUCCAGGGGACUGCUCCGUCACAGCUGUCAGACGAUUCCAGUGCAUUCAGUGUGAUAAAAUGGAAGGCUUACCCCCGCCCCCAAUUUUGUCCUUGGGUGGCUGUGUAAACGCGUUCCCUGUCCACAUUUCGCCAGGAGGGCUAUUUGCUGUAUUAAUAAUGGGGUUAAUGAAGACACGCCGUCAUACGUUGCUUUACCAGAGGGGUGCGCUCUGAGAAAUGAGGGGUACUCUCUGAGAAAUGUGUCCUUAGGCGAUUGUGUGGCUGUGCGAGCAACAUAGGGUGCACGGACUUACACAGAGCUCAGUGGUGUAGCCUACUCCACACCUAGGACAUGUGCUACAGGCGGGGCGCGGUGGCUCACAUCUGUAAUCCCAGCACUUUGGGUGGCCAAAGCGGGGGGAUCUCCUGAGCUCAGGAGUUCGAGACCAGCCUGGGCAACGUGGCGAGACCCCGUCUCUACCAAAAAUACAAAAAAAUUAACUGGGUGUGGUGGCACGACCUGUGGUCCCAGCUACUCAGGAGGCUGAGGUGGGAGAAUCACUUGAACCCUGGAGGCGGAGGUUGCAGUGAAUCGAAAUCCGAGAUUGCGCCACCGCACUCCAGCCCCGGUGACAGGAGGCCCCUGCCACACACACACACACACACACACGACAUAUGGUACAUAACCUAUUGCUCUUAGGCUACAAACCUGUAAAGCAUGUUCGUGUGACAAAUGCCAUAGGCAAUUAUCACACAAUGGUAAGUAUUUGUAUAUCUAAACUUAUGUAGACGUAAAAAAGGUACAAUAGAAACAUGGUAUUAUAAUCUUAUGGGACCACCUUCCUACAUGCGGUCAGUUGUUGACCCAAACAUCCUUAUGCAGUGAAUGACUGUAUAGAUGAUUAUAUAUAUACAUAUUGUACACAUUAAUAUAUAUUAUAAUCUAUGUAAUGUAUAUAUAAAAUAUAAUAUAUAAUGUGAUUAUAUAAUGUAUGUAUAUACUGUAAUUCUAUAUUAUGUAUAAUAUGUGAUUAUAUAUAAUCACAUAAUAUGUGCGUAUGUAUACAUAUACAUAUACAUCAUAGCAGAGGGUCUUGAACAUAGUACACAGUAACUUUCUUCAAAUGAGUUUACUACCAUAUUAAUUAUUGGAUAUGUCUGGAUAAAUUGUAUGAUACAUGAAUAUAUGAAAAACAGAGACUCUACAGUUAGUUUUCUGCAUGAAAUUCAAACUUCAUACUUAGGUGACAUUAUAAGGCUGCAUUUUCAAGUAUGGAUUAAAUAAUGACUUGAGAUACCGCUUUUUAAUUGCAAUUUAUAUUUCUUUUUAAUUGCCAUUUAUAUUACAUCUUAGGUGAUUUGAAAUGUAUUCUGUGAUUUUUAAGAUGGGCUUAAUUAAACUAAUUAAUUGAGCUUAAAUAUGAAACUAUAUGAUGAUGUUUUCCAUAUAUAAUGUAAUGGAGUCUAAGUCAGAGUUAGUUUUUAUUAAAAUAAUUUACAAAAUCAUAAUAAAAUAAUGAAAGCUAACAAGAUUGACUAUGAAUUAAAAGUAAAAUAAUCAUUUCAGCACCUUACUGUCUUCCUGGCAUUUUAUGCAUUUAAUGCCAGACAAAUAUAAAUGUGUAUAAAUGUGAUAUGAGGA